GGCCGGCCGCCGCGCAACGGACGGUCUCGAACCUCGUCAGGUCCGGAAGGAAGCAGCGAUAAGGGAUGCGGUACGUGUCGCGGAUCGUUCCCGGUCAUG
rnacentral:SRP_RNA from 1 species